AGAGGAGUGGAAGAACAUUUCACGGGCCACAAUUAACAAUAUUGUCAACUCGAUGACAAGACGAUGUGUUGCUCUACAGGAAGCCAAUGGUGGACACAUGAGAUAUGGAGUUGUGAUUUCUUUCAACCGGACCCCACUGUGUCCACAUGAAUGUCCCUGAAUGCCAGACGCCACUAUCAUGUUCUAACGGACACUAAUCUGUGAAAAUUCACCAUUGUGUGAUCAAUA